UCAAGAAAAAUGACGGAUAAAAGAAGAUAAUUGUUGAACUCAAUGGCUUAAAUUCCUCUCUACCAGAUGAACUUGAAGCUGAAGCUGAAAUUGAGCCUGUUGCAUCAAUACAGUUCAGCUUUGACACCAUCAAAGUCGCUACAAAUUCCUUCUCUGAUGCAAAUAAGCUUGGUCAAGGUGGAUUUGGACCUGUUUAUAAGGGUAGGCUCUCCAAUGGACAAAAUAUUGCCGCCAAAAGGUUGUCAGGGGUUUCUGGGCAGGGAGAUACUGAAUUUAAGAAUGAAGUGCUAUUAAUGGCUAAGCUUCAACACCGAAAUUUAGUUCGGCUUCUUGGUUUUUGCUUGGAAGAAAAAGAGCGACUACUUAUCUAUGAACUCCUUCCAAAUAGAAGCCUUGAUCACUUCAUUUUCGAUCCUAUUAAGCGUGUAUGCUUGGAUUGGGAAGCACGUUUCAAA